rnacentral:rRNA from 1 species
AGGUAAGCUACUAAGAGCGAAUGGUGGAUGCCUUGACUGGUAAAGGCGAUGAAGGACGUACUAGACUGCGAUAAGCUACGGGGAGCUGUCAAGAAGCUUUGAUCCGUAGAUUUCCGAAUGGGGCAACCCAAUGUAUAGAGAUAUACAUUACCUAUAUAGGAGCGAACGAGGGGAAUUGAAACAUCUUAGUACCCUCAGGAAAAGAAAUCAAUAGAGAUUGCGUCAGUAGCGGCGAGCGAAAGCGCAAGAGGGCAAACCCAGUGCUUGCACUGGGGGUUGUAGGACUGCAAUGUGCAAGAGGUAAGUUUAGCAGAACAUUCUGGAAAGUAUAGCCAUAGAGGGUGAUAGUCCCGUAUGCGAAAAACAAACCUUAGCUAGCAGUAUCCUGAGUAGGGCGGGACACGAGAAAUCCUGUCUGAAGCUGGGUCGACCACGAUCCAACCCUAAAUACUAAUACCAGAUCGAUAGUGCACAAGUACCGUGAGGGAAAGGUGAAAAGAACUGAGGUGAUCAGAGUGAAAUAGAACCUGAAACCAUUUGCUUACAAUCAUUCAGAGCCCUAUGUAGCAAUACAGGGUGAUGGACUGCCUUUUGCAUAAUGAGCCUGCGAGUUGUGGUGUCUGGCAAGGUUAAGCAAACGCGAAGCCGUAGCGAAAGCGAGUCUGAAUAGGGCGCUUAGUCAGAUGCUGCAGACCCGAAACGAAGUGAUCUAUCCAUGAGCAAGUUGAAGCUAGUGUAAGAACUAGUGGAGGACUGAACCCAUAGGCGUUGAAAAGCCCCGGGAUGACUUGUGGAUAGGGGUGAAAGGCCAAUCAAACUUCGUGAUAGCUGGUUCUCUCCGAAAUAUAUUUAGGUAUAGCGUUGUGUCGUAAUAUAAGGGGGUAGAGCACUGAAUGGGCUAGGGCAUACACCAAUGUACCAAACCCUAUCAAACUCCGAAUACCUUAUAUGUAAUCACAGCAGUCAGGCGGCGAGUGAUAAAAUCCGUCGUCAAGAGGGAAACAACCCAGACUACCAGCUAAGGUCCCUAAAUCUUACUUAAGUGGAAAACGAUGUGAAGUUACUUAAACAACCAGGAGGUUGGCUUAGAAGCAGCCAUCCUUUAAAGAAAGCGUAAUAGCUCACUGGUCUAGUGAUUUUGCGCGGAAAAUAUAACGGGGCUAAAGUAAGUACCGAAGCUGUAGACUUGCGCACAACUUAGAUUAUUUAAGUUUAGAAUAUGAGAAACUAAGUUAUAUGUUUAGUUAUAUUUUUACUGAUUUUUAUAGAGUAAAGAUAGAAAUAAAACUUAGUAAAAUCAGUAAAAAUAUUCUUAGACUAAAGUUAAGUAGUUUAAGUUGUGUGCAAGUGGUAGGAGAGCGUUCUAUUUGCGUCGAAGGUAUACCGGUAAGGAGUGCUGGAGCGAAUAGAAGUGAGCAUGCAGGCAUGAGUAGCGAUAAUUAAUGUGAGAAUCAUUAACGCCGUAAACCCAAGGUUUCCUACGCGAUGCUCGUCAUCGUAGGGUUAGUCGGGUCCUAAGUCGAGUCCGAAAGGGGUAGACGAUGGCAAAUUGGUUAAUAUUCCAAUACCAACAUUAGUGUGCGAUGGAAGGACGCUUAGGGCUAAGGGGGCUAGCGGAUGGAAGUGCUAGUCUAAGGUCGUAGGAGGUUAUACAGGCAAAUCCGUAUAACAAUACUCCGAGAACUGAAAGGCUUUUUGAAGUCUUCGGAUGGAUAGAAGAACCCCUGAUGCCGUCGAGCCAAGAAAAGUUUCUAAGUUUAGCUAAUGUUGCCCGUACCGUAAACCGACACAGGUGGGUGGGAUGAGUAUUCUAAGGCGCGUGGAAGAACUCUCUUUAAGGAACUCUGCAAAAUAGCACCGUAUCUUCGGUAUAAGGUGUGGUUCGCUUCGUAUUAGGAUUUACUCCGAAAGCGAAGAAACUUACAACAAAGAGUCCCUCCCGACUGUUUACCAAAAACACAGCACUCUGCUAACUCGUAAGAGGAUGUAUAGGGUGUGACGCCUGCCCGGUGCUCGAAGGUUAAUUGAUGGGGUUAGCAUUAGCGAAGCUCUUGAUCGAAGCCCGAGUAAACGGCGGCCGUAACUAUAACGGUCCUAAGGUAGCGAAAUUCCUUGUCGGUUAAAUACCGACCUGCAUGAAUGGCGUAACGAGAUGGGAGCUGUCUCAAAGAGGGAUCCAGUGAAAUUGUAGUGGAGGUGAAAAUUCCUCCUACCCGCGGCAAGACGGAAAGACCCCGUGGACCUUUACUACAGCUUGACACUGCUAUUUGGAUAAGAAUGUGCAGGAUAGGUGGGAGGCUUUGAGUAUAUGACGCCAGUUGUAUAUGAGCCAUUGUUGAGAUACCACUCUUUCUUAUUUGGGUAGCUAACCAGCUUGAGUUAUCCUCAAGUGGGACAAUGUCUGGUGGGUAGUUUGACUGGGGCGGUCGCCUCCCAAAUAAUAACGGAGGCUUACAAAGGUUGGCUCAGAACGGUUGGAAAUCGUUCGUAGAGUAUAAAGGUAUAAGCCAGCUUAACUGCAAGACAUACAAGUCAAGCAGAGACGAAAGUCGGUCUUAGUGAUCCGGUGGUUCUGUGUGGAAGGGCCAUCGCUCAAAGGAUAAAAGGUACCCCGGGGAUAACAGGCUGAUCUCCCCCAAGAGCUCACAUCGACGGGGAGGUUUGGCACCUCGAUGUCGGCU